rnacentral:lncRNA from 13 species
GUGUGUGCCUCUCUCUGUGUGGAUGCAGAACUUUUCCCUUUGUGGGUUUAAGCUAGUGUAAUCUUCCUUUCUUUUUUUUUAGAUGGAGUCUCACUCUUGUCCAGGCUGCAGUGCAGUGGCACAAUCUCGGCCCACUGCAACCUCCACCUCCUGGGUUCAGUUGCUGCUGACACUGUAUUUGGAUAGUGCUACUGGACUGGACUUGGAGAGGAUCUGAGGAAGAGUAACUUCUUUGCUCCUUUAGCGUCUUUUCACCAGAAUGGAGGACUUGAGCAUGUUGCGGGCAGCAUCAGUUUCAAGAUGUAGAAAGCACAAGGGGGAGAAGGUUGUCAGCAUCAUG